CCUACGGGGGGCAGCAGUGAGGAAUAUUGGUCAAUGGACGCAAGUCUGAACCAGCCAAGUAGCGUGCAGGCUGACGGCCGUCCGGGUUGUAAACUGCUUUUAGUUGGGAAUAAAAGGGGGCUCGUGAGCCCCGUAUUGUAUGUACCAUCAGAAAAAGGACCGGCUAAUUCCGUGCCAGCCGCCGCGGUAAUACGGAAGGUCCGGGCGUUAUCCGGAUUUAUUGGGUUUAAAGGGAUCGUAGGCCGGCUUUUAAGUCAGCUGUGAAAGUCCGCGGCUCAACCGUGGAAUUGCAGUUGAAACUGGAGGCCGUGAGUGCCCACAGGGAUGCCGGAAUUCAUGGUGUAGCGGUGAAAUGCUUAGAUAUCAUGAAGAACUCCGAUCGCGAAGGCAAGUGUCCGGGGUGCAACUGACGCUGAGGCUCGAAAGUGCGGGUAUCAAACAGGAUUAGAUACCCUUGUAGUC
rnacentral:rRNA from 1 species